rnacentral:lncRNA from 10 species
AGGCGGGUCUAGUUGCCCGGGUCCCCCAAGGCCCCCGGAUUCACCCAGGCCCGCGACUCCGACGUGCAGCUUAGGUGGGUUGCAGGUCUAUGGCAGGAAAGGGAGGGCGCCUUGGAAGAAUUCUUCCCUUCCAUUUGGUGAUAAAGUGGGAGAGGCGGCAUUUACAACAUUUAAUAGAAAGCACGGGCUCUGGGCUCCCCUCGGGCAGCGGAGGGCAUUUCCCGGAUGCUUUGCCCACCUGGGGCAGAAGCUCGGGACCUGCAGCGAAGUAAACGUGUGGCUGUGAGCAGGGCCCUCUCCCAGCCACGGUGGCUUCUUCUACCCCACGAAGGUCAAGAAUACCUGGCCUGCCCACCUCGCGGGGCCCUUAGCGGGUCGCACAGGAGAAAGGCGGUGGGAAUGCCGGUGUCAGCCACGGUGUGACCGGCUCGGCUCACAGGUCUGAGGGUCAGUUGGCUCAGGCAUCGCCCGGUACGACCAGAGAUAGUGACUGAGGAAGAGCAGCCUCACAUCUGGCAGUUUGCCUCUGGGAGAAUUCCAGCGUGACAUCUGCAGCUCUGUGGUUCCAGAAAGGAUGGUUCCCACAUUGAAGAAGACAUCUGUGGGACUGAGUUCCACCGAAAUGCAGAGGAACCAAAAAUGAAAAUGAAAAAUGUAACCAGAGUUGUGUGCCACUAGUUUUAAGCUUUGGUUUUUCUAAAUUAUUUUCUGGCUUCUCCUUCUGGGCUUUGCUGUAAACUUGCCAAGCAUGAGAACAACUCUUCAUCUAUUGAGUGGCAUUUUAAGCCAUCCUGUCAAAGUAUCUCCUGUCAUUUUUAUUAUUAUUACUCUAUAUUGCCUGCAAGACACGACUGGAGAAUUCUUAGUGUAAGAAUUGUUUGUUUCCUCUCUCCUUCUUUCCCACGUUUUCCCAGGGAAGUCAGUCUUGCAUUUUAAUGCAUACUAUAUACAUAUCUCGUUUAGCUUACUGAACCACUUGUUUUAACAGAAUAAAACUGUGCAAAAUUUUAAUUUUCCUCCUUUGCCUGAACUGAAAUAGCACAUCCAGGUUUAGCCCUUGUAGACUUUCCUUCCUCGAAGCAGAAAGUUGCCCUUGAUGAUUUCCUCUUUGAGCUCUCUGCCAGCUCUGAAACCCACAAAAUUUAUGUUUGCAAAACUAAGCCAUGCAAUCCUCUUUUUAUGCAGGCUCUAGCCUGAGUCAUUUUCCCUAAGAGAUCUUCAGCUCCACCUGGGAUGUGAUUCUUUGCUCUCUGGGAUUGAAGGUAGCUGAAGAGAAAUAGUUACACUUCAGGUUUGUUACAAGACCCAAGAAAUUGUUGCAAUUCCACUUGGAGUCACUGACUUUUCUGAAAUCAUAUAGGGCUUUAAACAAUGUCAAGAUCAGCCAUUUGAUAAGAAAAAUGUUUACCAUUGGAUUGUGAUACACAAUGUGCCUUAAAUAUUGAUAAAUUAGAUGAAUAUUUAUUUUGUAUAUCCAUUAAAAUAGACAGGAAAGAGAAGAUGUUGGGUGUUUGCACAGGCUUUUUAGUCAGUACGGAAUGACAUUCUUCAAGAUUUAAAAAUGCUAAAAUCAUUACUAUUUUCAAGAAGAGGGAGGAAGAAAACGUGGUAAAUAAUAUUUCAUUGCGAAGUGUUUUUCCCUGACUGAUCUAAUUGUGGCCAGAUCUACUUUUUGACGGUGCGAAGUGUACUUUUUAAUGGUGCCAAACAGCAGUUGAUCUAUAAUAACUGCUGCUUGGCACCAUUAAAAAGUACAUAUCUAAAAUUUCACUGUUGAAAUUUGUUCACAAGAACAAAUUGACUGUUAAAAUUAUUCCCUAACCUUAACACAAUUUUUUUUACUCCUGUCAGUAAAGUCAAGCUUAGCAGUUAACAGUUCCCUCCUCCAUGAUCUAUCUUGGAGGCUCUGAGAAGUUCAAAAAGUUACUAAACUAUAACAAUAAUCUCUCUGGCUUGACCAGUCCCUUUCUCAUUGGAUUUUAGGAUGUCAGAGGAUGGGAGAACCUCACAGACAUUCUUUUAUGGAUGAGAACCCUGUGGCCAGCUGAUCUGAGUAAACUGGCUUGCCUAACCACACAGUGCAGAUCUGGUCUUCUGACCCCGGGGGCUUUCCUUCCAUCACCAGGCUUUCUCCUACUCCCAAUGAAGGAAAGUAAGACUGGGUGGUAAAUCCAUCAAAUGAAUGAUUAAUUAAUCCAUCCAUAAGCACUCAAAAAUGUUCUGCAUGUACACAAAGUGCAGAAAAGUGCAAAACUGCACAAAAACUGCACACAAAGUAUAGAAAAUACUUUGCAGUUUGGGGAACUCAUUGUUCUUAGGCAGAAAUAUCCUGAUGGUUAGUCCUUGAAAUAGACAGACAAGGAGACACGUAGAAGAGUUUGAAUUCCCUUUGCAUAACCAGUGAUGAAAUGUGGUUGAUGAGAAGUCUGAAAAUAACUGCGGAGAUGUUUCAGCCCUUCCACUGUACUUUUAUAGUACUUGCUGCCAAUUUUACCGACUCAUUUUCAUUGAGAACUUCACUUAAUCUCACUUGUGUGUUUACCUGUUAAUCUUUCCUGUUGGAUUGGGUUUUUUGUCUGUUUUUUUCCUCUCUCAACCCUUUCCACAAUUAUCAGCACAUAAUAGGCACUUAAUACCUUUUGAGUCAAUGAAUACUUUAUAAAACUAUGAGUGCAACCAAAUAUUUCACUGGUGUUCAAGAGAUGAAAUCUGUCACUGAAAACUCUUUCUAGGGGCCAGGCAGUGAGUGUUUCAUGAUGCUGAGAUUGGUAAGAAAAUACAAAUCCAUCAUGACUGGAAAGGCACCACUCGACCGCAAGUUCUAGCAGUCUAACCAGUGAUUAGCUAUCUCUGCACCACCAGAAAAUCUCACCAGGAGGAGAGAUAGCUGAGAAGCAGAAACCAGAUACAGAAGUUUGGAAACUAGCUAGCAUUUUUUUAAAAGACUGGAUUCUACGAUGAUUCAGAAUAUACUUCAUCAUGCGAUGAGGUUGUUGAUAGUUUUCCUUGCAUACAGAGGCUGAAUAACUUUUUAAAACAAAUUCCUCAAAAUGUUUAUUUCCCAGGAAAGAGAUAGGUUAAGAUACAUGAUAGCAAGUAAAAUUGAGAAUAAUUCAGAGAAACUUAUUUUAUGCAUAUGAAAUGGUAAAAAGAGCAAUGAAACCAUUACCCAAAAUUCAGGUAAAAGGCAAAGUAUGAGAAAAGGCCAGAGGGAAUUAGGAGUUAGUAGGAACACAGAGUUCUGGAGGAAAAGGAAAAAAGUGACUCAGCAGAACCUAAGAAACAUCUGGCUGGGUAUAGUUAGUCAUGGAAAAAUUGGCAGUCAUGAUUAUGCAUUUUGUGAAAAUAGCAAUAUACUAGUCCAACAGUUCAUUUAGACCAAAAUUAAACAGUUGAAAGUCAGUAUGAUAAAAUCUAUUAUCCUGGUCAUUCAAAAUACUUCUAUCAACUGUCUAGAACAGCUUACAAGAAGCUUUGCUAAAUGAGUUAUCACAUAGCACCAGUAUUCUGAAAAAUGUAACUUUAGAGAAAAACCUUCCAAUUCAAGUCUUAGACUGGGAUUGGUAUUUUCAGCAGAC